rnacentral:rRNA from 1 species
UACGGAGGGGGCAAGCGUUGUUCGGAAUUACUGGGCGUAAAGGGCGCGCAGGCGGCUGCUCAAGUCAGGCGUGAAAGGCCUGGGCUCAACCCGGGAAUUGCGCUUGAGACUGGGCUGGCUUGAGUGCGGGAGAGGAUGGUGGAAUUCUCAGUGUAGAGGUGAAAUUCGUAGAUAUUGGGAAGAACACCGAUGGCGAAGGCGGCCAUCUGGACCGCAACUGACGCUGAGGCGCGAAAGCGUGGGGAGCAAACAGG